rnacentral:lncRNA from 1 species
AUGGAAGGGGAAGCUGACAUGUAUUGCUUUUCCCAGAGCUGGGGACCGACAAAGACUUCCAGUAAUUCCACUGCCCAAACCCAGUUCUCAGGUGCAAACCCACCAUGGGACCUCAUCUCACACAAGCACAGCCAGCCCUCCACAGUAGUGAAGUCAACCUCCUGCAGAUCAAAAACGAAAGUACUGAGCUCUUUCAUCACGAUGACGGGAGGCAGCCAAAGCAGGAGGAAACCAGCAUGCCACUUCCCUCGCGGCUCAGGGUAGAGCAGAAAUCUCACUCAACACUGAGCAACGGGUCAUGUUUUUAGAAACACUCAAUUCACUUAGUGUCAGAAACAUCUAUAAAAAUGCAACUUCAACACAGUGGCUCACACUCAUAAUUCUAGCUGCUGGGAAGGCUAAGGCAGGAGGAUCACAACUUGAAGGCCAGCCUGGGUAACUUGGCAAGACCCUGUCUCAAAAUAUGAUAAAAAGGAAGGGCUGGGGAUAUAGCUCAGGGGUAGCAUGCACCAUCCAUGGUUUGAUCCCUGGUAGUGGGAAAGAAGAAAAAAAAGAAAAACGUGACUUUAGUCUAAUUCCCACAACUUAGUCUCUGGCAGGUCCCUCUCAAGAGGCAGCAAGCACGGGCUGCGCGAUGUCCUAGAAGCGGCUUAUGUCUCAGUGGGGGGCUGCCAGGGGAUCUGUGCUACUUGCAGAGCUGGGGCUUUCUGGGGGAGGGGGUAAUUUUUAUCUUGAAAUACUUUCAGUCUCAUAGAAAGUUGCACGAGUAGUACAGAGAACUCUCCAGUUCCCUUCACCAAGAUUCCCCAGCUGUUGGCACCUUAGCACAUUUAUCAGUUUCUCUCUUUCUAUACAAAAAUAUAAUUUUUUUCCUGAGCCAGGUGAGAACAAGCUGCAGACAUGAUGUCCCUUUGCUCCUAAAUACUUCAAUGUGUGUUCUCAGAGAGCAAGGACAUCCUUUAGAAAGCACAAUAACCACUAUAAAGAUCAGAACAUUAACACCAAUAAAACAGUUGACUCU